UACGUAGGGUGCAAGCGUUAUCCGGAAUUAUUGGGCGUAAGAGCUCGUAGGCGGUUUGUCGCGUCUGCCGUGAAAGUCCGGGGCUCAACUCCGGAUCUGCGGUGGGUACGGGCAGACUAGAGUGAUGUAGGGGAGACUGGAAUUCCUGGUGUAGCGGUGAAAUGCGCAGAUAUCAGGAGGAACACCGAUGGCGAAGGCAGGUCUCGUG
rnacentral:rRNA from 1 species